rnacentral:sRNA from 1 species
CAUUUUGCCAGAUGGGGCCAAGAUACUCAUGAUUCGCUGGAAGUGCACUCCUUAAGGCUUCCUGGAAGAGAAAGCCGAGUUGAAGAACCUUUUGCAAGUGACAUCUCCCAGUUAGUUGAUGAAGUUGUCUGUGCUCUGCAGCCAGUCAUCCAGGAUAAACCAUUUGCAUUUUUUGGCCACAGUAUGGGAUCCCACAUUGCUUUUAGGACUGCACUACACCUAAAAGAAAACAAUAAACCAGAACCAUUGCAUUUAUUUUUGUCAAGUGCAACUCCUGUACACGCCUGUGUUGUUUUUCAUGUUUCAAGUCAAAGGCCUGGCAGCGCCUUCCCAAAGAUGAAUUGUCAGAAGAACAAAUUAGUCAUUACCUUCUGGAAUUUGGAGGCACCCCCAAGCAUUUUGCUGAAGACAAGGAAUUUGUGAAACAAUGUAGUCCCAUCAUAAGGGCAGAUCUGAACAUUGUUAGUAGUUGCACUGUGAAUAAUUUC